CCUGGCGGCCGUAGCGCGGUGGUCCCACCUGACCCCAUGCCGAACUCAGAAGUGAAACGCCGUAGCGCCGAUGGUAGUGUGGGGCCUCCCCAUGCGAGAGUAGGGAACUGCCAGGC
rfam:Cronobacter sp. DJ34 Bact_A5_14, whole genome shotgun sequence.